UACGUAGGGGGCAAGCGUUGUCCGGAUUUAUUGGGCGUAAAGAGCGUGUAGGCGGCUAGAUAGGUCCGUUGUGAAAACUCGAGGCUCAACCUCGAGACGUCGAUGGAAACCAUCUGGCUAGAGUCCGGAAGAGGAGAGUGGAAUUCCUGGGUGUAGCGGUGAAAUGCGUAGAUAUCAGGAGGAACACCGGUGGUGUAGACGGCUUCUGGACCGUAACUGACGCUGAGGAGCGAAAGCAUGGGGAGCGAACAGG
rnacentral:rRNA from 1 species